AACCAGGACUGAACCAGGACUAAAGCAGGACUAAACCAGGACUAAACCAGGUCUAAACCAGGACUAAACCAGGUCUAAACCAGGACUAAACCAGGACUGAACCAGGUCUAAACCAGGACUAAACCAGGACUAAACCAGGACUAAACAAGGACUAAACAAGGACUAAACCAGGACUAAACCAGGACUAAACAAGGACUAAACUAGGACUAAACCAGGACUAAACCAGGACUAAACCAGGACUAAACAAGGACUAAACCAGGACUAAACCAGGUCUAAACCAGGACUAAACAAGGUCUAAACCAGAACUAAACCAGGUCUAAACCAGGACUAAACCAGGUCUAAACCAGGACUAAACCAGGAUUAAACCAGG
ensembl:lncRNA